rnacentral:misc_RNA from 1 species
GAAAAAACUCAUAAAGAGGUUAAAGCCAUCCAAUUGUCAUCUGAGCACAAUGCUAGUAUUGAAUCUGUGAGAGAGGAGCUGCACUCGUUGCAUCCCAAUGAUCCACAGAUUGUGGUGCUAAAGCACAAGGUGUGGCGCGUGAAGGGCGUUAUACAGGUCUCAAGAUCCCUUGGUGAUGCUUAUCUGAAGAAAACAGAGUUCAACCAAGAGCCUCUUUUGCCGAAGUUC